GGACGAACGCUGGCGGCGUGCUUACCCCAUGCAAGUCGAACGGAAAGGCCCUGCUUUUGUGGGGUGCUCGAGUGGCGAACGGGUGAGUAACACGUGAGUAACCUGCCCUUGACUUUGGGAUAACUUCAGGAAACUGGGGCUAAUACCGGAUAGGAGCUCCUGCUGCAUGGUGGGGGUUGGAAAGUUUCGGCGGUUGGGGAUGGACUCGCGGCUUAUCAGCUUGUUGGUGGGGUAGUGGCUUACCAAGGCUUUGACGGGUAGCCGGCCUGAGGGGGUGACCGGCCACAUUGGGACUGAGAUACGGCCCAGACUCCUACGGGAGGCAGCAGUGGGGAAUAUUGCACAAUGGGCGGAAGCCUGAUGCAGCAACGCCGCGUGCGGGAUGACGGCCUUCGGGUUGUAAACCGCUUUCGCCUGUGACGAAGCGUGAGUGACGGUAAUGGGUAAAGAAGCACCGGCUAACUACGUG
rnacentral:rRNA from 1 species